rnacentral:rRNA from 1 species
CGGCGGACGGGUGAGUAACGCGUGGAUAACCUGCCUCACACAGGGGGAUAACAGUUAGAAAUGACUGCUAAUACCGCAUAAGCGCACAGUACCGCAUGGUACAGUGUGAAAAACUCCGGUGGUGUGAGAUGGAUCCGCGUCUGAUUAGGUAGUUGGUGGGGUAACGGCCCACCAAGCCGACGGUCAGUAGCCGACCUGAGAGGGUGACCGGCCACAUUGGGACUGAGACACGGCCCAA